CCAGGAACACGUUUGUUCAGGGAACGUUCUUUAUUUGUGUGCACUGUGCUGUCUUAAGCUCUUUCAACCACUUUCUCUUAUAUUAUGUAAUUUUCCUGUCAGUGAGCACAUGAUGUCAUUAUUAUCUGUGUGUGAAUUCUGAGUUUAGUUUGUAACUUUGACAUAUUGGGUAUGUUUCAGCACCAGCUGUAUCUGAGUUGGAAGUCACUGGGAUUAGAGGAGAGUCUGUUUCUCCUGUCCUGUGACCUGAAUUCAUCCACGGCCAUCGACACAUCAAGACUCCGGUUCUAUUGGCAAGAUAAGUCCGGAAAAGUGUUGUACUCGUUCAACAAAGGAGAAGAGAAUCAACAUCAGGAUAACCUUUACACAAACAGAACUAAAGCCUUUGGGUCUGAGAUGAGUUCUGGGAAUAUCUCUAUCAAACUCAGCCAAGUAACACUUGAAGACAAGCAGAAUGUCUACUGGGCUUUCCCUACACUGUUUGACGAGAAUGAUAAGCAUAUCCUCGAGUUGAUAAAGUGUGUCCCCUACCCUACUUGUGGCAGCACGGUUCCGACACCCAGUGUGACUGUGAACAAGACAAAUAUGAAUGCCACGUGUUCAACCCAGGGGGGAUACCCACAGCCAGUCGUCACAUGGACAUCCAGGACGUCCUAUUGGCUCAGACCGCACUCUGGACCCGUGGGAGAGUACAGACCAAAAGACAACCUGAUCCUGAAAAGUGGACUGUUACACCGUCUGGAGCCAAGUGAAUAUAAGAGAAAAUCAGACGGUGACCUGCCAUAUCUUCAACCCCGUUCUGAGAGAGACUGUGAGCAACACAACCAUCGUCAACUCCAAUCAGAGCAUUAACACAGACCCUGCAGGUGAUGUUCAGGAAGGCUUUUCUCUCAUAAUUAUUGUAGUUAUCACUACAGUAUUGAUUCUGUUUUGCUUCGGUGUCGGUGGGAGGGGUUAUUUUGUGUACAAAAAACGUUGUYGAGCCAGUGGUGGAACCAAAGAAGUUGAAGGGAAGAACCAUCAAGGAAAUGGUAUUGUUGAGACAGAGCUUUGGACAGGCGUAGGCCGGCACCAGACAUUCUAGAGGCAGACAGGU